UUCUACUCUCUAUCCGAAAUGCCUGGUUUGUUGUUUUAUCUGCAUGAUUCGUAAGAGCAAGUCGCGAUUGCUUUUUAAAAUUUUUUUUUUUUAAUUCAGAAGGUUCAGGAAAGUCGUUAAGACUUGGGAUGAGUCCUCCUUGAACUUAAAUGAGAGUCGGGCAUUUUAUGAGAUAACGUAAAAACUCAAAAUUAAAAAAAACAAAGAAAUGACUGUAAAGUAAAAAUAACGUUAUGAAUUACACCAUUCGAAAUGACAAUAUUUUUCUUAAGUAUGAUCGUGUGUAUUUAUAUGUGUGUAUAUGUAUUUACAUAUAGAGUAUAUAUUGACACGUACGUGUACAGCGAUCUAAAAAUCACGCCGCGCGCUAAAUGACCGCCGCUGUUGCUUAAAGCUGCCAUUUACUUCCAUGGUGAUUUUUAGACGCUCAUCACCGUUUUGUUUCUAAAGGCAAAUUUUCAUUUGAAAUAAGUGGGCAAGGCGUUGGGGUGUCGACAUCUUACAAAUUCCAUUGACAAACCCAUGACGUUCUCAUGAGCAUUUGUAGCAGGCGGAUUGGCUUAUUGUAAAACCGACUCAUCAAAUAAAAAGAGAAUUAAUAAGGUGUUGACUCCAACCAUGUAACUUCAUUUAACAAAAUUGUGCUUGCUUAACAAACAAAAAAAAGCAAAAAAAAAACAAAAAACCAUAGGCGGGCUAAUGGAAAUUUAAAAAAAAAAGUUUGUCCAAAUUUUUAAAAUUCAAUUAUCACAGGCGUAAAAAUAGGGAAAAAACACGCACUAGGGUUGACAUCAUCCCCAAAAAUUUGUCCAUCCUUCAGCGAAGGCCCAAACAAUAAACGAAUACAUCAAUAUGCGAAGCCUCGUCUUGCAAACAAGGAUUGGCCCCCUUGGACCCGCGGAGAACUCUCUUGUUUGUGCGUGCGUGCGCGUACAGUGGCAGUUGGUCGCCAUACCAGGAUGGCCCUGAGGCUUAUUUGCUGAGAAAUGCCGGCUGCCUCGCGGCCGAGGACGGCAACAAAAUACAAAACAAUAAAUGGGAACUGUCAACAGAAAUGCAGAACUUCCUUUCAAACAAUGGCACAGUGUUGCCGCGUUGCCGGUUGACCACAAUAACGUUUUACCGACAAAAGAGUCAAAUCCUCAAAAAAAAGUCUCAUAAAGAGAGCGGACGUGGAAUCGACAUCUUCCGAUUCUUAGAAUAAGCAAAAA